rnacentral:rRNA from 1 species
CCUACGGGUGGCAGCAGUGGGGAAUAUUGGACAAUGGGGGGAACCCUGAUCCAGCGACGCCGCGUGAGUGAAGAAGUCUUUCGGUAUGUAAAGCUCUAUCGGCAGGGAAGAAAGAAAUGACGGUACCUGAUUAAGAAGCCCCGGCUAACUACGUGCCAACAGCCGCGGUAAUACGUAGGGGGCAAGCGUUAUCCGGAUUUACUGGGUGUAAAGGGAGCGUAGACGGCGAUGCAAGUCUGAAGUGAAAGGCGGGGGCCCAACCCCCGGACUGCUUUGGAAACUGUAUGGCUGGAGUGCAGUAGAGGUAAGUGGAAUUCCUAGUGUAGCGGUGAAAUGCGUAGAUAUUAGGAGGAACACCAGUGGCGAAGGCGGCUUACUGGACUGUAACUGACGUUGAGGCUCGAAAGCGUGGGGAGCAAACAGGAUUAGAUACCCUAGUAGUC